rnacentral:rRNA from 1 species
UCCUGCUCAGAUGACGCUGGCGGCAGCCUAACACAUGCAAGUCGAACGGUAACAGGAAGAAGCUUGCUUCUUUGCUGACGAGUGGCGGACGGGUGAGUAAUGUCUGGGAAACUGCCUGAUGGAGGGGGAUAACUACUGGAAACGGUAGCUAAUACCGCAUAACGUCGCAAGACCAAAGAGGGGGACCUUCGGGCCUCUUGCCAUCGGAUGUGCCCAGAUGGGAUUAGCUUGUUGGUGGGGUAACGGCUCACCAAGGCGACGAUCCCUAGCUGGUCUGAGAGGAUGACCAGCCACACUGGAACUGAGACACGGUCCAGACUCCUACGGGAGGCAGCAGUGGGGAAUAUUGCACAAUGGGCGCAAGCCUGAUGCAGCCAUGCCGCGUGUAUGAAGAAGGCCUUCGGGUUGUAAAGUACUUUCAGCGGGGAGGAAGGGAGUAAAGUUAAUACCUUUGCUCAUUGACGUUACCCGCAGAAGAAGCACCGGCUAACUCCGUGCCAGCAGCCGCGGUAAUACGGAGGGUGCAAGCGUUAAUCGGAAUUACUGGGCGUAAAGCGCACGCAGGCGGUUUGUUAAGUCAGAUGUGAAAUCCCCGGGCUCAACCUGGGAACUGCAUCUGAUACUGGCAAGCUUGAGUCUCGUAAAGGGGGGUAGAAUUCCAGGUGUAGCGGUGAAAUGCGUAGAGAUCUGGAGGAAUACCGGUGGCGAAGGCGGCCCCCUGGACGAAACUGACGCUCAGGUGCGAAAGCGUG